CAGAGGCAGCGGCGGCGGCGGCGGAGACGGAGAGAGGCAGGCAGGCAGGGCGAGGGCGAGAGACGGAGGGAGGGAGCGAGCGAGGCAGACCAGACAGACAGACAGGCGGGCGGGCGGGCGGGCGGGCAGAGCGAGCCACCCGCCAGGCUGCGCUCAGCCCCGCUCGCAGCGGAGAGAGCAGAAGGCAGGAGGAGGGAGGGGAGGAGGAGGAGGGAGGGAGAGAGGGAAUCCAGCUACCACCACCCAAAGCCAGCGUCUGCUUUCUGUCCUCAUUUCCUUUUCCCACCCAGCUCGGAAAGCGGAGAAAGGCAGAGAGAGCGAGAGAUAGAGACAGUCAGAGAGACAGACAGACAGCCAGAGAGCGGGAGGGAGGAGGGCGGAGGAGGAGGAGGAGCAGGAGGAGGACUACGCGGGGCGCGUUCCCUCCCAGGUUUGCAAUGGGGGGGUGGGGGUGGGGGUGUCCAGGGCUGUGAGAGUGUCUGCGCGGCGGGGGGAGCGAGGGGGGCACUGAGAGCGAAGGAGUGAUCGAGGUGGGGGGGGGCGCCGCGGGCGCGGGGGGCCGUGUCCAGCGGAGUUAGCGGCAGAGAAUGUGAGCCGAGACGCGAGCCAUGCUGUCAGCAACGGCGGGCGGCUCAGGGCUCCUCCACGACUCCUCUCCCCAGCAGCCGGGCUCCCGCGUCGCUGCCGCCGCCGGAAGACAGACGCCCCCCAAAGCCCCUCGCCUGGCUCGGACCCACGGAGCCGGCAGCCCAGCACUCCGAUGGGAGCGUGCCUACCUGUCUACCCAUUGGCCUGGACCCCAGAGCCUGCCCAGCUAAGUGCGUGCAGAGGGCCCCGACUUCGGGGCAACCCUCAGGCUGCCGCAGGGACUACCCUGGAAUCCCUGGCGAAGACAGGCCUUUCCUGCUGAGUUGGACCUUGUCUACACAGCUUGCUCAGCUUUCAGAAAACCAACGCCAAGACCCCUCCCAGCGUCCACAUUGUCCUCUGGCAGGAGUGCCUGCCCCUCUGCCUCCCGCCCAACCCCCCAGUACCCCUUGCACUCCCACAUCCCCCCACCCUGCCCUGCCCAUCUCCUCCACGCAGAAGCCGAAGGUGAGCCCUUUCUGCACAAAACCAGCAAUUGUAAAUACUUUUUAAAAAUGUACAAAACUUAAAAAAACAAAACACAGUUUUAGAAAAAGACAAAAAAAAAGAGAGAGAGAGAGAGCGCGAGCGUGUGCAAGAGGUUGCGAGCGGGGCCCCGAGGUGUCCAGAGCCCCUGCAAGUAUGCACUGAGAAAUUUAUCUACAGGUCGUUUGACAAAAAUGAACAAUAUCCUAUUUAUUGUAUAUACUGUUUUAUUAUAAAUCGUGGAUUGUAUAUUGCAUUCUGUAAACCUGCUGUGGCCCCGUGGUGUGCAAAUUCGCAUGGUAGGGGGGAGGGAGAAGAACCUCUUGCGGGAGCUUUUUUUUUUUCUUUCUUUCUUAUUUUUCACUCUUUUGGGUUUUCUCUUCUGUUGUUGUUGUUGUUUUCUGUUUUGGCAGGACACACCCAAAGAUCCAAGUUUGUAUUAAAAAGAAAUGAAAAAAAGCAAAAAAAAAAAAACCCACCUUGUGUC
rnacentral:lncRNA from 1 species